UAAUAUCAAUAAAAACAACUUAUUAAUUUAUAUUAUAUUAUCAUCGCACGACUCGUAAAAACCUAUGAUUCAAUAACCUUUAAUAACAAACCUUUUUUAUUAUUGCAUCAAAUGCAACACAAUGACGAAUACAGAUUGAAUGAAUGAAAAAUUAAUAAAUCGUCAAAUGUGACAGAGAUGUGAAAAGUAAGUAAUGCAGGUCAAAACCGAAUUAUUACGAAAUAAUUAUUUUGACUAUAAACGUUUUUGCUCCUUCCUUAUUUAGCGAAAAUUGAAUGAUAAUCAAACCACACCUAAGGUUGCACCUCAACCAUUUGAUAAAAAGAAGAAGUAUAAUUGCCUGCGCUGACGCGGCAGCUCAGGAUUAAGGACUCCGGUUGGGUCCGAAACUAAAUAGUCGGGCUACCCCGAUGAAUACGCGUUUGAAACAGUAAUAAAACUGCAGUGUGAGAAUCGAUCGACUUUACAUGCAAGUGAUAAAUACGAAUCAAUUGUGGGAAUAAUGUUUCUAAGCGUUAGUGCAAGAACUCUCAUUAUUAAGUACCACUUAGUGGUUGUUCAUAACGUAGUACAGCGAUAAACUGUGAACCUGCGACCACCAUUAUAACUACGUCAUUUUUUGAUGUGAGUGAGAUAGCGCAUUACAUGGCGUGGACUUUUGUAGAGCAGCCUCUUGUUUCCACAUCCACGACAGUUUUAGUUUAAGAGGUUGUGUCCCCUGUUUGCCACACGAGGUGAGGCAAGGGUGGGACAAUCUGUCACGAGCAAUCACUUUUGAACGGUCUUUAAGGCCUUCAGCAACAUACAUUCACAGGUUUCCAAUGAUCCUUAUCAACAAAAGUGAUUGCUUAUUUCCUACUCUACAAAAUUCUCAGUUUAAGCUCAUGUGAAUCAAUGUUUGUGAGUUAUUGAAAUGAAUAUGCCUACUUAUAAUAUAAAAUACUCAUUCAUACAAUAGUUCUUAGAUCCUCGACUGUUUUCUAACUUUAUUUUAUCAGGCGUUUGCGUCUUAAGCGACAGCGUAAUUAAAAUCAAACCUUGUGUUUUGAUAACAUGUCAAUAUACAUACCUACACUUUGUUCACAACGAUCUUAUAUAUGAGAACAUGACCAAAGGAACUUUUCAAUAACCCAUACAUACCUACAUAUAUUUCAUUUUAUUUUGGCACAAAACCAGUUAUUUUUACUGCUAAGUCUGAAACUAAUAUUAAUGCGGAAGAGAGAUGCCAUUCUACGAGUAUCGCUAUAUACUCGUAAAGUGGCAUCUCUGUCUCGCUCCCACAACCAUGAUAAUAUUACUUUAAGACGGUUUCUGGUAGGUGGUAGACCCUAAGGUCGCCGUAAACUGGUUUUAACACUUACACAUUUUUUUUUCGCAAGAAGGUCUUAAUUACAAGUCAUAUCAACCUUUUCAUUGAAAAAAUGGCGCCCAACAUUCUUUUAAGUUAAGCAUUUUACGAUGAAGAAAUAAUGGCUGCGUUAUCCUUGAGACAAUUACUUCAACUAUAGGAUAAGCCUAUAUAUCUAAAGAGUUACUAUCUAUUGUUAUAUUUUAAUUAUACAGCUUAGCUUAAUAGGUAGCUGGUACCUCUGCCUCUAUUUUUUCUCAUAAUUUUUGCUGUUGCGUAUAACAUAAACAGAUCAUAAUCUAUUGUUGUAUCACAAAUCUCUCAUAUGUAUAAAAGAGAAACGAACUCGACCAUGUAAAUGGCAAUAAACGUACCGGUAACAUCGUAAAUUAUACUUUUCACACUAAACUUACGCAAUAUUAUAGUUUCCCAGAAGGACAUACCUACUCCGUCAAUUUAAUUAGUAUUAGUUUCGCGUAUGUCAGCAAUUGCAUCACAUUUUCGGAGAAAGCAACAUUUGUACGCUUCGGUGGUCACUAAACACCCAAACACAUGUACUUAACCGGCAAUUAUUCAAUAUGCCACUAGUUUAGACUCAUACUAAUUAUACGGUCAUUAACGCGCUCUACGGAUAUUCAAUCACUUAAAAUUUAUGUUCGAUAUCAUAAUUAGCAAUUACCUAUACCAUGCUAGCUGAUUCUUGUAAUACGAAAGAAAUCUACAAUGUUUUUUUUACUUUAAAUUAUUGAAACAUUCUGUGAGCAGGAU